rnacentral:miRNA from 1 species
CAAGACCUCUGGGUUCUGAGCC